GCGAGAGUGGCGGAAUGGCAGACGCGCUAGACUUAGGAUCUAGUGGGCAACCGUGCGGGUUCAAGUCCCGCCUCUCGCACCA
rnacentral:tRNA from 1 species